GACAGAGGGGGCAAGCGUUAUUCGGAAUUAUUGGGCGUAAAGGGCGCGUAGGCGGAUUGGCAAGUGGAUGGUGAAAUCCCUCGGCUUAACCGAGGAACUGCCGUCCAAACUGCUUCGCUUGAGACCGGGAGAGGUGAGUGGAAUUCCCAGUGUAGCGGUGAAAUGCGUAGAUAUUGGGAGGAACACCAGUGGCGAAGGCGGCUCACUGGACCGGUACUGACGCUGAUGCGCGAAAGCGUGGGGAGCAAACGGG
rnacentral:rRNA from 1 species